UGAGUAAUGUCUGGGAAACUGCCCGAUGGAGGGGGAUAACUACUGGAAACGGUAGCUAAUACCGCAUAACGUCGCAAGACCAAAGUGGGGGACCUUCGGGCCUCACACCAUCGGAUGUGCCCAGAUGGGAUUAGCUAGUAGGUGGGGUAACGGCUCACCUAGGCGACGAUCCCUAGCUGGUCUGAGAGGAUGACCAGCCACACUGGAACUGAGACACGGUCCAGACUCCUACGGGAGGCAGCAGUGGGGAAUAUUGCACAAUGGGCGCAAGCCUGAUGCAGCCAUGCCGCGUGUAUGAAGAAGGCCUUCGGGUUGUAAAGUACUUUCAGCGGGGAGGAAGGCGAUGCGGUUAAUAACCGGGUCGAUUGACGUUACCCGCAGAAGAAGCACCGGCUAACUCCGUGCCAGCAGCCGCGGUAAUACGGAGGGUGCAAGCGUUAAUCGGAAUUACUGGGCGUAAAAGCGCACGCAGGCGGUCUGUCAAGUCGGAUGUGAAAUCCCCGGGCUUAACCUGGGAACUGCAUUCGAAACUGGCAGGCUAGAGUCUUGUAGAGGGGGGUAGAAUUCCAGGUGUAGCGGUGAAAUUGCGUAGAGAUCUGGAGGAAUACCCGGUGGCGAAAGGCGGCCCCCUGGACAAAGAACUUGACGCUCAGGUUCGAAAGCGUGGG
rnacentral:rRNA from 1 species